rnacentral:rRNA from 1 species
GACGAACGCUGGCGGCGUGCUUAACACAUGCAAGUCGAGCGGAAAGGCCCUUCUGGCUACUCGAGCGGCGAACGGGCGGGUAACACAUGCGUAAUCUGCCCUCGGCUUUGGGAUAACUACGGGAGACGGUGGCUGAUAACGGCUACUACAACCGGCUGCAUGGGGUGGUGGUUGAAAGGUUUUUCGGCCAUGGGUGUGCCCGCGGCCUAUUAGGUUGUUGGUGGGGUUAUGGGCUACCCAGGCCGCGACCGGUAACCGGGAUGAGGGGGUGACCGGCUACAAUGCGACUGAGACACGGACCAGAGGCCGACGGGAGGAAGAAGGGAGGAAUAGUGGAAGAUGGACGGAGGCCUGCCCCAGCUAUGCAGAGUGACGGCGGACGGCAUUCGGGUUGUAGUCCUGUUGAAGUACCGUAGAAGAGCAGAUGAUGGUGGUGACGGUACCUACAGAAGAAGCACCGGCUAACUACGUG